UGCGUAGGUGGUUUCUUAAGUCAGGAGUGAAAGGCUACGGCUCAACCGUAGUAAGCUCUUGAAACUGGGAAACUUGAGUGCAGGAGAGGAAAGUGGAAUUCCUAGUGUAGCGGUGAAAUGCGUAGAUAUUAGGAGGAACACCAGUAGCGAAGGCGGCUUUCUGGACUGUAACUGACACUGAGGCACGAAAGCGUGGGGAGCAAAACA
rnacentral:rRNA from 1 species